rnacentral:rRNA from 1 species
UAGGGAAUAUUGCACAAUGGGGGAAACCCUGAUGCAGCGACGCCGCGUGAGUGAUGAAGGCCUUCGGGUCGUAAAGCUCUGUCGUAUGGGACUAACACAAUGAAGGUACCAUGCAAGAAAGGAUCGGCUAACUUCGUGCCAGCAGCCGCGGUAAGACGAGGGAUCCUAGCGUUGUUCGGAAUCAUUGGGCGUAAAGCGGGUGUAGGCGGUCUUAUAAGUCAGGUGUGAAAGCCCAGGGCUCAACCCUGGAAGUGCACUUGAUACUGUAAGACUUGAGUGUGGUAGAGGCUACUGGAAUUCCUGGUGUAGUGGUAAAAUACGUAGAUAUCAGGAGGAAUACCGGAGGCGAAGGCGAGUAGCUGGGCCAACACUGACGCUGAGAUCCGAAAGCGUGGGGAUC